CAGCAAUGAUAUUUAUAGCCCUUGGUAAAAUACCCUGUCUUCAGGAUGGUGAGGUUCAGCUUUGAGAUAUGUUCCAGAAUGUUACAAUGUUAAGGGGCCCUAGGGGUUGUUAAUAUCAAUUCUAUAAUUUUUAAGACAAAGAAACUGAAGCGUGUUGAGGGCAAGAGAAACACUAAUGGUGUCGAGCUGGUAUUUUAGAGAGAGGCAAUUAUUUCAUUCCCAGUUAUUACCUAUGCUGGUUGUACGACUUUAAACAAAUUACUGCACUCAGUAGGUGCCAUUUUCUUUAUCCAUAGACACUGGGGACUUUUUGGACUCUGAGGAUGCUACACAUCUGUUAGCCACUUGGAUGUUAUCCUCCACAUCUUAAAAAGUUCAUGAUACAGCUGCUGUCACCAGAUUUGUGUGUUAUUUUUUAGGAAUCCCAAAAUUUAAAACAGAUAGCAUGAUCCUAUUGAUCAAAGUAUAAUUUUUAAAAAGGUACUAUCAAUUUUAAGAACACUUCAAUGGAUCAAUGGGAGUAGAAAUGGGGUCCCCCACUUAGGCAUAGAUUUUACAUAUAAUUUUAAAACUGAAAUUUGAUUAGAGAAGUUAAUUUUUUUUUUUCCAAAAUGCAAUUUUCUUCCAUUGAGAUUGAUUCGACUCUAUAGGUUCCCUGCAGGAGGGUAGGACUUUCUUACUUGUUCUUAAUGCAGAAUUCUCUGAGAGAAAUGUUCCUUUAUCUUAGUGUCUCAGUGGGCAUUGCUGGUAUUCCUGAGUGUGUUGACAUUUUGGCCAUUUCCAAACAUUUCUAGGUCUUUGUUACUGACCUGCCUACAUUUCAACCCUUGGCCCUCCCCUCUGUUUUGAAAUUGUUUGUUCUUUCACAAGAGCAAACUGAAAGCUUUACUCUCAAGCAAAAAAGAAAUCUUGAGCCAAAGUAUUAUAACUUGCCCUGUAGGAAAUGACAGCAGUGCACUGGUUAUCUUUUUUACCUGGUUGUUAGGGUACAUUAAAUUAAAAUAACACAGCAAGAAACAUUAGUUUCCAUGAUUUAUUUUAGAUUUACAUUGGUGUGUGGAUUUUGGUUGGUUGUUUGCUUUGGUUAGGAGGAGGUGGUAUAUGAAAGCGGAGGUCUUGUAUAGCUGAUGGGAAUGAGUUUUUUUUUUUUAAAAAGGUUAUGAAACACACUCUGUCUUGAGGAAUAGUCCAGGGGAGUGAUCAUAUAUCGAGAUAAAAUCAAGAGGCUGGUAAACAGCAAGCGGUGUAUGAUUCAGUAACUCCCCCAGAUUGCUUUAUUGGUUAGGUAAUGAAACAUGCUAGGGAAUUUCAACCAAACAUGAGUCAGCGCACUGCCCAAAAACAUUUGAAAUGACUGAACUACAAGCUUAGGAAGCAUGGGAUGAGGUGUGCCGUUAAAUUGCUCCUGGACUGGAAAGUAUUCCUAGGUUCUUCCCACCACUACCUGGAGAAGUUGACCCGGGAUUGUUUGGGAAAGACAUGGGACUUUUAGGUCCUCUCAAAGCUUUUCACAUUGCCCCAUGUUGUGUGUUGUUCCUUGUUUGUGAUUUUUUUUUUUUUUUUAAGCAUGAAGGCACUCAAACCAGGCUAAUAUAAACUGAGGCAUUCUCAAAGUACAGGAAAUUGUUUUCCUUAACUACACACUUUUGAAAAAAUGGUGUUUAAUUACCUGCUGCUUCUCUGUUGCUCAGAUUCCCUUCAGGAUACAGGGGGAGGGAUGGGAGAGAAAUUUCCUUUGCGAUUUAAUAUAAUUAUUCAUAAUGACUACAUAUGGUCAUUUUAUAAGUUUCUAAUUAUUUUAAGUGAUUGGUGCAUGGUCAUUUGCAUAGGCUGUUUAGUGGAACACUCAUUUCAUUCAGUGACCUACAUAUAAAUCAUCGAAUAGUCUCUAGGCAUGUAAAGCAGAUGAGAGAAACCAAAUCCCCCCCCAUCACUUAGGUUCCAAUGGAUGCAUCUCAGAAUGUUUAAUGUAAAUCAUAAUAGCAACCUGGAUUUAGCGUGCUUCAUAGGAAUGUGUGGUUGAUAUAGGGAAACGUUUCAUUUUUUCUUUCAGUAGCAGAUGGUACACGGAUUUUUAUUUGAUGCAGGCACUACUUUCCAAGGUAAUUGUCAAGGACUUUUUUCCCCCAUGAAAAAAAUGGAGGGAAGGCUUCUGGAUCAACCCAUUCAUUUUACAGAUGAGCAAACUGAGACCUCCAUUAUUGAGGGAUUUUCCCUAAAUCACCAGGUUUUAGACAGAAUGCGGGCUAAAACUCACAUCUCCUGACAGUCAGCUCAAUUCUCUUUUCUUCAUACUGCACAUUUUCUCUUGAGAGUUGAUGUGAUAUAUGUCACUUA